UUUCCUUGAUACACAUGGGAUAAACACAAGCCUGACCGAAAGCAAAAGGGGGAGCUCCACGGCAUUACAGAGUGUUCGGGUUAGGCGGAGUACCGUUAUUAGGGGGGGGGGGGAGCCGGGCCGACCAAAGAAUGAGCAGGAACAAUAAGGGUAAAGUCUUCGUCGCGGGGGGCGUUGACCUGGGCAAUAGAAAUCCAGAGAGGGUCAGCCGGAUCUCUUCCCCCUCCUCCCCCUUCCCCCCAGAAAAAGGAUUAAAAAGAGAAAUCCCAUUCCAUCAGAGCCCUGCCCCCUCCCGGGGACAAAACGGCGGCGGUGGCGGCGGAGUUCCUCGUAAAUUCCGAUGGCAUCUUCCUGGAACUGGCAUACGAUUCGGCGUGCCUGCCCGCUCGGGCUGGCGGAUUAGGCCAAAAAUAUGAGCUUCACAGCGGCGGCGGCGGCGGCGGCGGCGGCGGCGGCAGCUUCAGGCAUAGUACAUGUACAGGCUGUUGGCGGCGGCGCAGGCGAUGGAGUUCUCAGUCGGGUGCCAAGCAAGGUGGAGCAGCUUGCUGGUGAAGUCGUAG
rnacentral:lncRNA from 1 species